GUCGUGUACAUUUUAUUAUUUUGUACAGGUUAUUAUACUUGUACUAAAUCUUUGUAUGAGUAUAAUUACUUGUAUGAUGCCAAAAUGCCAACAUACAAGUUAUUACCUGUACAAAUAUAAUUGUACCAGUAAUAACUUGUACAAUUUUCGUUACGAAAAAGAUGAUAACUUGUACAACACAAUAUCUGUGUGCUUCUACUUGUGCUUUAAACAAAAUGUUUUAUUGAAAAACUCCUUUUUUUGAGUUAGUAAGUCCGGGAUUAUUUGUCAAUUGUCGGGUAUUAUUUUUCUUUUACUGUUUUCUCGUAUUUAUUUAUUGGUUUGUUUAUUUUUCUUGUCAUAUAGUGUGUGUAAUUUUGAAAUCUAUAUUGUGUUUGCUUUUCCUUUCUUUUUUUCAAAUCUGUAUUCUGAACCAUUCUGUCAUAAGAAAUAUCUUUGAAGUGCUGUCUUUUUGGAAUUUAAUUUGGCUUCCUUUACAUUGCUAAUGUUCUAUUUGUACUCGUGUGAAAGCGAAUUAUUAGAGUAAGAUAUUUCUUGAUAUUUUUCUACAUUAUUUUCCAUCUUUACAAUUAAG
rnacentral:lncRNA from 1 species